ACGAAGGUCCCGAGCGUUGUUCGGAAUCACUGGGCGUAAAGGGAGCGUAGGCGGCGUGGUAAGUCAGAUGUGAAAUCCCGGGGCUCAACCCCGGAACUGCAUCCGAUACUGCCGUGCUAGAGUUUUGGAGAGGUAGCUGGAAUUCACGGUGUAGCAGUGAAAUGCGUGGAUAUCGUGAGGAACACUCGUGGCGAAAGCGAGCUACUGGACAACAACUGACGCUGAGGCUCGAAGGCCAGGGGAGCGAAAGGGAUUAGAUACCCCUGUAGUCCUGGCAGUAAACGGUGCGCGCUUGGUGUGAGGGGAAUAGACACCCCUCGUGCCGGAGCUAACGCGUUAAGAGCGCCGCCUGGGAAGUACGGUCGCAAGACUA
rnacentral:rRNA from 1 species